rnacentral:rRNA from 1 species
GUCUAUGGCCAUGCUAUCCUGAACAAGCCUGAUCCUGCUUGAUCUCCGAAGCUAAGCAGGUCAGGUCUGCUUAGUACUUGGAUGGGAGACUCUAGGAAGACCAAGUGCUAUAGGUG